rnacentral:rRNA from 1 species
AAUAGAUACCCGGGUAGUCCACGCCGUAAACGAUGAGUGCUAGGUGUUGGGGGUAUCGACCCCCCGGUGCCGCAGUUCACGCAAUAAGCACUCCGCCUGGGGAGUACGGCCGCAAGGUUGAAACUCAAAGGAAUUGACGGGGGCCCGCACAAGCGGUGGAGCAUGUGGUUUAAUUCGACGUAACGCGAAGAACCUUACCAAGGCUUGACAUCCUGCGAACCACUCAGAGAUGAGAGGGUGCCCUUCGGGGAGCGCAGAGACAGGUGGUGCAUGGUUGUCGUCAGCUCGUGUCGUGAGAUGUUGGGUUAAGUCCCGCAACGAGCGCAACCCUUAUCCCUAGUUGCCAGCGAGAGAGUCGGGGACUCUAGGGAGACUGCCCGGGACGACCGGGAGGAAGGCGGGGAUGACGUCAAAUCAUCAUGCCCCUUAUGUCUUGGGCUACACACGUGCUACAAUGGGCGGUACAAACCGAAGCGAAGCCGAGAGGUGGAGCGAACCGGAGAAAGCCGUUCCCAGUUCGGAUUGCUCUCUGCAACUCGAG